UGAGGAAUAUUGGUCAAUGGACGAGAGUCUGAACCAGCCAAGUAGCGUGCAGGAUGACGGCCCUAUGGGUUGUAAACUGCUUUUGUUUGGGAAUAAUCGACAUUACGUGUAAUGUUUUGCAUGUACCAUUCGAAUAAGGAACGGCUAAUUCCGUGCCAGCAGCCGCGGUAAUACGGAAGGUUCAGGCGUUAUCCGGAUUUAUUGGGUCUAAAGGGAGUGUAGGCGGUUGGUUAAGCGUGUUGUGAAAUGUAGAUGCUCAACAUCUGACUUGCAGCGCGAACUGGCUGACUUGAGUAAACACAACGUAGGCGGAAUUCAUGGUGUAGCGGGGAAAUGCUUAGAUAUCAUGAAGAACUCCGAUUGCGAAGGAAGCUUACGCGGGUGUUACUGACGCUUACGCUCGCAGGUGCGGGUAUCGAACAGG
rnacentral:rRNA from 1 species